AUACGAUGAAGAGUUUGAUCCUGGCUCAGGAUGAACGCUAGCGGCAGGCUUAACACAUGCAAGUCGAGGGGUAGAAGUCUUCGGACUUUGAGACCGGCGCACGGGUGCGUAACGCGUAUGCAAUCUGCCUUUCACAGAGGGAUAGCCCAGAGAAAUUUGGAUUAAUACCUCAUAGUAUAGCAGUCUCGCAUGAGACCACUAUUAAAGUCACAACGGUGAAAGAUGAGCAUGCGUCCCAUUAGCUAGUUGGUAAGGUAACGGCUUACCAAGGCUACGAUGGGUAGGGGUCCUGAGAGGGAGAUCCCCCACACUGGUACUGAGACACGGACCAGACUCCUACGGGAGGCAGCAGUGAGGAAUAUUGGACAAUGGGCGCAAGCCUGAUCCAGCCAUGCCGCGUGCAGGAUGACGGUCCUAUGGAUUGUAAACUGCUUUUGUACGAGAAGAAACACUCCU
rnacentral:rRNA from 1 species